AUUGAACGCUGGCGGCAGGCCUAACACAUGCAAGUCGAGCGGAUGAAGGGAGCUUGCUCCUGGAUUCAGCGGCGGACGGGUGUGUAAUGCCUAGGAAUCUGCCUGGUAGUGGGGGAUAACGUCCGGAAACGGGCGCUAAUACCGCAUACGUCCUGAGGGAGAAAGUGGGGGAUCUUCGGACCUCACGCUAUCAGAUGAGCCUAGGUCGGAUUAGCUAGUUGGUGGGGUAAAGGCCUACCAAGGCGACGAUCCGUAACUGGUCUGAGAGGAUGAUCAGUCACACUGGAACUGAGACACGGUCCAGACUACUACGGGAGGCAGCAGUGGGGAAUAUUGGACAAUGGGCGAAAGCCUGAUCCAGCCAUGCCGCGUGUGUGAAGAAGGUCUUCGGAUUGUAAAGCACUUUAAGUUGGGAGGAAGGGCAGUAAGUUAAUACCUUGCUGUUUUGACGUUACCAACAGAAUAAGCACCGGCUAACUUCGUG
rnacentral:rRNA from 1 species